UUGAGGAGACAUCCUAGCUGUCCACACAUUCUGACAAAUGAAUGACAUUACAUAAGAAAAUCAUGACCAAAAAUGCAUCCACAGUGUUCUGUCCAUCAAAACAAUGAGGUAUUCAUGAAUUUUCGGUUUGAAUGAAGACUACACAUUGGACAAGCAUUCAUGUGCCAAACUCCCAGUCCAUUGCAUAUACAGUAUCAGCAAUUAACUCUAAACCUGUCCUAUAAACAUACCACUAUGGAGAAAAACAUGCCUGCGUAUAUGGUAGGCCUAGGCCUAUAUGUUGUUAUACCAACUGAAGUAACCUAGUAAAGUACUCCCAAACAGCAGAGUUCUCUUCACCUGUGCCUCUGAUAUCGUCUCUGUCCGUCAUUCCCUGACAAGAACCAGGGCUUUAAACGCCUGCAGCUCUGUCACAAUGAAACAGGAUCUCAUGCCUUAUUCACGUUACAUCCGAGCAGUUCAUUGCGUUGCGCCGGAUGUCAUUCAUUUCAAUAGGGACUGUACGGAAAGUUCAAGGCUCCUUUGCGAAAUGGGUGGCGCAAACUUUGCGUUGUCUUCAGUGCGCUUCAGUGCAGACCGUCUGUCAAUAGAACAGAAAGUUAGCAAACUACUGAACAUGAUUAAAACGUGGUUUUCGCCUAUGGCUUUAUGGGAUUCCUAUAAGAUGAUAUCUUCAUCCCUGAAAACGUUUUCAUCCUGGAGGAGACUGUGCUGGAGGCAGAGGAAAGAACAGUUAGUACAGCAUGCCAAACUGACUCCUGGGUGCCAGUGUUCCCAUGCUGCGGUGGAGAAGACGUCCACCAGGACCAUCACUAAAUAGCUCAGGGCCCAGCUAGAUUGCGCUCACAACCAUCAGUAUACAACCGGGUCCUGCCCCUAUACGCCACAGAUGGAGCUGACGGAGAGCGAGAUCAGUGAAGACCAUAACUCGCUGUAUGAACCUGAGAGCUCAGAAUCACAAUCAUCCCAGAGCGAGCCAAGAUAUACUAUCGAUCACUUUGGGGGAGCAGGAUGGUGUUCUGAAAAUGGAGAAAGAGCAGGCCAUUCAACAGCGAAUUCAAAGAUACACCCAUCCAUAAAGGGAAUCGGAGUGGAAUUGUUUUAACGCAGAUUUUUUUUAACCCGUUUCAAUAGAUGAUGUGCUACCUUGUCCCGGUUCUGCUGUUUCGAUUUUCUCUCUCUCAACCUAUGAA